AAAGGGAGACCUAAUUCAGGUAAAAGACGAAAAAAAAGUAGUCGCUACCAAGAAUCAAUCCCAAAAGGUCGGAGCGAGGCGAAAUUGGCUUUCAAACUAGGUUCUGGGUUCAAACAAGACCUGAAUCAGGAACAAGGGCUAUUAGCUCAGGUGGUUAGAGCGCACCCCUGAUAAGGGUGAGGUCCCUGGUUCGAGUCCAGGAUGGCCCACCUGCACAGGUGGCAAAAACAAGAGAAGCGAGGAAUCAGCACCUUAUCUUACUGACAUAGUAAGAGAGAAUGCUGGCUCUGAGUAAAGAGUCCAGAGGAACCUUGAAAACUGCAUAGAGCUAGGUGAAAAAGCCAAAAAAGAAGACCGCAAG
rnacentral:tRNA from 1 species